GGCUUCGUAGUCGAUCGGUAAGGGCAUUUGCCUCUCACCUUAGAGCUCCGGGUUCGAUCCCCGGUCGAGAAGCUA